rnacentral:rRNA from 1 species
GACGAACGCUGGCGGCGUGCUUAACACAUGCAAGUCGAGCGGUAAGGCCCUUUCGGGGGUACACGAGCGGCGAACGGGUGAGUAACACGUGGGUGACCUGCCCUCAGCUCUGGGAUAAGCCUGGGAAACCGGGUCUAAUACCGGAUAUGACCUCAUGACGCAUGUUGUGGGGUGGAAAGCCUUGUGCGGCUGAGGAUGGGCCCGCGGCCUAUCAGCUUGUUGGUGGGGUGAUGGCCUACCAAGGCGACGACGGGUAGCCGGCCUGAGAGGGCGACCGGCCACACUGGGACUGAGACACGGCCCAGACUCCUACGGGAGGCAGCAGUGGGGAAUCUUGCGCAAUGGGCGAAAGCCUGACGCAGCGACGCCGCGUGAGGGAUGACGGCCU